AACGAACGCUGGCGGCGUGGAUAAGACAUGCAAGUCGGACGAGAUUUUUCGUUGUAGCAAUAUGAUGGAAAGUCUAGUGGCGAACGGGUGCUUAACACGUGGGCAAUCUGCCUUAAAGUGGGGGAUAGCUCGGCGAAAGCCGGAUUAAUACCGCAUGUGGCCAAGGAAGACAUCUUCCUGACGCUAAAGUCGGGGCAACCUGACGCUUUUUGAGGAGCCCGCGGCCUAUCAGCUAGUUGGUGAGGUAAUGGCCCACCAAGGCUUUGACGGGUAGCUGGUCUGAGAGGACGACCAGCCACACUGGGACUGAGACACGGCCCAGACACCUACGGGUGGCAGCAGUCGAGAAUUUUUCUCAAUGGGGGAAACCCUGAAGGAGCGACGCCGCGUGGAGGAUGAAGGUCUUCGGAUUGUAAACUCCUGUCAUUGGGGAACAAUGCGUGACGGUUAACUGCCGUCGCGUUGAUAGUACCCGAAGAGGAAGAGACGGCUAACUCUGUGCCAGCAGCCGCUGUAAUAC
rnacentral:rRNA from 1 species